rnacentral:misc_RNA from 1 species
GUUUAAGGGCUCAUAAAAUUUACAUUUCUGGAGAAAAUUGUCUUUCAAAGGUAUGUCAAUGGCGUCUUCACUGUCGAGAAAGUUCUUACGCACGAUGCUGACAAACCCUAGCUCCAUUAAAGCUUCGCAGCUGUCUUCGCUGUCUUUUUGCACAAAAAUCUCUUCAGCCACAGAUGACUUCUCCUCUCCGGAUUCGGACCACAAUGAAUUGGGGCCUGCUUCGGACUCUGAACCAGAAUCAACUGGUUUUUCAUCACCUUCAGCUUCUGAGAUGAAGCAAGAACGCAAAUACAUUGAACGUACACUCGAGAAUGGCAUGGGCGUUGGUAUAUACAAGGCAAU